UAGAGUUUGAUCCUGGCUCAGAUUGAACGCUGGCGGCAGGCCUAACACAUGCAAGUCGAGCGGUAGCACAGAGAGCUUGCUCUCGGGUGACGAGCGGCGGACGGGUGAGUAAUGUCUGGGAAACUGCCUGAUGGAGGGGGAUAACUACUGGAAACGGUAGCUAAUACCGCAUAACGUCGCAAGACCAAAGUGGGGGACCUUCGGGCCUCAUGCCAUCAGAUGUGCCCAGAUGGGAUUAGCUGGUAGGUGGGGUAACGGCUCACCUAGGCGACGAUCCCUAGCUGGUCUGAGAGGAUGACCAGCCACACUGGAACUGAGACACGGUCCAGACUCCUACGGGAGGCAGCAGUGGGGAAUAUUGCACAAUGGGCGCAAGCCUGAUGCAGCCAUGCCGCGUGUGUGAAGAAGGCCUUCGGGUUGUAAAGCACUUUCAGCGGGGAGGAAGGCGGUGAGGUUAAUAACCUCACCGAUUGACGUUACCCGCAGAAGAAGCACCGGCUAACUCCGUGCCAGCAGCCGCGGUAAUACGGAGGGUGCAAGCGUUAAUCGGAAUUACUGGGCGUAAAGCGCACGCAGGCGGUCUGUCAAGUCGGAUGUGAAAUCCCCGGGCUCAACCUGGGAACUGCAUUCGAAACUGGCAGGCUAGAGUCUUGUAGAGGGGGGUAGAAUUCCAGGUGUAGCGGUGAAAUGCGUAGAGAUCUGGAGGAAUACCGGUGGCGAAGGCGGCCCCCUGGACAAAGACUGACGCUCAGGUGCGAAAGCGUGGGGAGCAAACAGGAUUAGAUACCCUGGUAGUCCACGCUGUAAACGAUGUCGAUUUGGAGGUUGUGCCCUUGAGGCGUGGCUUCCGGAGCUAACGCGUUAAAUCGACCGCCUGGGGAGUACGGCCGCAAGGUUAAAACUCAAAUGAAUUGACGGGGGCCCGCACAAGCGGUGGAGCAUGUGGUUUAAUUCGAUGCAACGCGAAGAACCUUACCUGGUCUUGACAUCCACAGAACUUAGCAGAGAUGCUUUGGUGCCUUCGGGAACUGUGAGACAGGUGCUGCAUGGCUGUCGUCAGCUCGUGUUGUGAAAUGUUGGGUUAAGUCCCGCAACGAGCGCAACCCUUAUCCUUUGUUGCCAGCGGUCCGGCCGGGAACUCAAAGGAGACUGCCAGUGAUAAACUGGAGGAAGGUGGGGAUGACGUCAGGUCAUCAUGGCCCUUACGACCAGGGCUACACACGUGCUACAAUGGCAUAUACAAAGAGAAGCGACCUCGCGAGAGCAAGCGGACCUCAUAAAGUAUGUCGUAGUCCGGAUUGGAGUCUGCAACUCGACUCCAUGAAGUCGGAAUCGCUAGUAAUCGUAGAUCAGAAUGCUACGGUGAAUACGUUCCCGGGCCUUGUACACACCGCCCGUCACACCAUGGGAGUGGGUUGCAAAAGAAGUAGGUAGCUUAACCUUCGGGAGGGCGCUUACCACUUUGUGAUUCAUGACUGGGGUGAAGUCGUAACAAGGUAACCGUAGGGGAACCUGCGGCUGGAUCACCUCCUUA
rnacentral:rRNA from 1 species